AGCGAACGCUGGCGGCAGGCCUAACACAUGCAAGUCGAACGGACCCUUCGGGGUUAGUGGCGGACGGGUGUGUAACACGUGGGAACGUGCCUUUAGGUUCGGAAUAGCUCCUGGAAACGGGUGGUAAUGCCGAAUGUGCCCUUCGGGGGAAAGAUUUAUCGCCUUUAGAGCGGCCCGCGUCUGAUUAGCUAGUUGGUGAGGUAAAGGCUCACCAAGGCGACGAUCAGUAGCUGGUCUGAGAGGAUGACCAGCCACAUUGGGACUGAGACACGGCCCAAACUCCCACGGGAGGCAGCAGUGGGGAAUCUUGCGCAAUGGGCGAAAGCCUGACGCAGCCAUGCCGCGUGAAUGAUGAAGGUCUUAGGAUUGUAAAAUUCUUUCACCGGGGACGAUAAUGACAGUACCCGGAGAAGAAGCCCCGGCUAACUUCGUGCCAGCCGCCGCGGUAAAAC
rnacentral:rRNA from 1 species